rnacentral:rRNA from 1 species
GUGGGGAAUAUUGGACAAUGGGCGAAAGCCUGAUCCAGCCAUGCCGCGUGUGUGAAGAAGGUCUUCGGAUUGUAAAGCACUUUAAGUUGGGAGGAAGGGCAGUAAGUUAAUACCUUGCUGUUUUGACGUUACCGACAGAAUAAGCACCGGCUAACUUCGUGCCAGCAGCCGCGGUAAUACGAAGGGUGCAAGCGUUAAUCGGAAUUACUGGGCGUAAAGCGCGAGUAGGUGGUUUUGUAAGUGGGAGGUGAAAUCCCCGGGCUCAACCUGGGAACUGCCUCUAAAACUGCAUGACUAGAGUACGGUAGAGGGUAGUGGAAGUUCCGGUGUAGCGGUGAAAUGCGUAGAUAUAGGAAGGAACACCAGUGGCGAAGGCGACUACCUGGACUGAUACUGACACUGAGGUGCGAAAGCGUGGGGAGCAAACAGGAUUAGAUACCCUUGUAGUCC